rnacentral:lncRNA from 1 species
CUCUGAAUCUCCUUGCUUCAAAACCCCACACCUGGAUCCACGUGGAUCCAAAGCCCCCGCACACCUGGAUCCCCCCGGAUUCCAGCGGCACCCGCUCCCUGCAGGGUCUCUCCUGCUUUUCCCGGAGCUCUGGAGCUCCCUGGAUCGCUCCCGGUGUCAGCGAGCAGCGCGGGGAGCCAGCGGCGGGGUGGCGGGAUCCCCUCCGGGAGCCGCUCCAGCGGGGACCGGCCCGGUGCCCGUCCCGGUGCCCAUCCCGGUGCCCAUCCCGGGCCUUCCUGGUGUCCCCUCCAGAGCCAUCCCGGUGCCCCUCUUGGUGCCCAUCCCGGGCUCUCCCGGUGCUCCCCCCGCUGCCCCUCGCUAUCUCUGCUCCCAGUUCCCCUCCCGGGCCAUCCCGGUGCCCCUCCCGGUCUCCCCUCCCGUGCCAACGGCACCGGCGGCCGCUGCCGAGCCCUCGGUGGGGCGGGGCGGUCCCGGAGCCGCGGGAGCCGCGGGAGCCGCGGGCGGCGGAGCGGGGUAAGGGGCGCGGGGGGCGCGGGGGCGCCGCUGCCAGCACAGCCCGGGACACCGGGACACGGCAGGACGGUGUGAUCGGGCUCGGUGUGCGCGGUUCCGGCAGCACCGGGCUCGGUGUGCCCGCCGGGGCUGCGGUGGAGCCGGAGCCUCGCUCGUCCUUGGCAUCGCUUUGCACCGAGGGAUCGGCACCGGCUGGGACCGCGGGGUUUGUCCCAGAGGCUCGGCGAGCCCCGGUUCUGUUCGGUCCCGGGGGUUCCCGGCGUUUGUUGGCGCUCCCAGCUCCCGCUGCUCGGUGCCUGACUUUGGGCCAGUCCCGCUCUCGGGGUGCCCGGGCUGCUCCCCUGCACAACCCGGGGCUCUCGGGGCUUGGGAAAACUGCGGGGACACAAACGCAAAGGGAGAUUCGGGAAUGGAGCUGCAAGGACACAACCAGGGCUCGUUUCCUUGCAGUGGCUUUGGGGUGGGUGACAGCGCUGGCGGCGUUUUGCAAAGUGGAUUGGCACGGCAGUGACACCUGUGCCAGGUGCCUGUUGGCACGGAAUGUGCCACCCUGUCCCACAGCGCUGCUCUGCCAGCUGGGGCAGCCUUGGAGGGAUGGGACAGGAGAACAGAUCCCUGUGCCCUGCGUGGUUUGGUGCUCCAGAGCGGGACGGGGACAGGGCGUGGCUGCUCUGGGGGUGCUUGGGCAUCUCCCACCCAGCCCCUGAGCCCCAGCAGGGCCUGGGGGCUGUGAC